rnacentral:ncRNA from 1 species
UUGGAAGGACGACCUUCCUCUCAUCAGGAUAUCCCGCGGGGACGACCCUG